GGUGAACGCUGGCGGCGUGCCUAAUACAUGCAAGUCGAGCGAACGGACGAGAAGCUUGCUUUUCUGAUGUUAGCGGCGGACGGGUGAGUAACACGUGGAUAACCUACCUAUAAGACUGGGAUAACUUCGGGAAACCGGAGCUAUUACCGGAUAAUAUUUUGAACCGCAUGGUUCAAAAGUGAAAGACGGUCUUGCUGUCACUUAUAGAUGGAUCCGCGCUGCAUUAGCUAGUUGGUAAGGUAACGGCUUACCAAGGCAACGAUGCAUAGCCGACCUGAGAGGGUGAUCGGCCACACUGGAACUGAGACACGGUCCAGACUCCUACGGGAGGCAGCAGUAGGGAAUCUUCCGCAAUGGGCGAAAGCCUGACGGAGCAACGCCGCGUGAGUGAUGAAGGUCUUCGGAUCGUAAAACUCUGUUAUUAGGGAAGAACAUAUGUGUAAGUAACUGUGCACAUCUUGACGGUACCUAAUCAGAAAGCCACGGCUAACUACGUG
rnacentral:rRNA from 1 species